GAUGAACGCUAGCUACAGGCUUAACACAUGCAAGUCGAGGGGUAGCAGGGUAGCAAUACCGCUGACGACCGGCGCACGGGUGAGUAACACGUAUCCAACCUUCCCAUAACUCGGGGAUAGCCUUUCGAAAGAAAGAUUAAUACCCGAUAGUACUUUAUUAAGGCAUCUUAAGAAAGUUAAAGAUUUAUUGGUUAUGGAUGGGGAUGCGUUCCAUUAGAUAGUUGGUGAGGUAACGGCUCACCAAGUCUUCGAUGGAUAGGGGUUCUGAGAGGAAGGUCCCCCACAUUGGUACUGGGACACGGACCAAACUCCUACGGGAGGCAGCAGUGAGGAAUAUUGGUCAAUGGGCGAGAGCCUGAACCAGCCAAGUAGCGUGAAGGAUGAAGGUCCUAUGGAUUGUAAACUUCUUUUAUAGUAGAAUAAAGUGAACCACGUGUGGAUUUUUGUAUGUAUACUAUGAAUAAGGAUCGGCUAACUCCGUGCCAGCAGCCGCGGUAA
rnacentral:rRNA from 1 species